UACGGAGGAUCCAAGCGUUAUCCGGAUUUAUUGGGUUUAAAGGGUGCGUAGGUGGCUUAUUAAGUCAGGGGUGAAAGACGGUAGCUUAACUAUCGCAGUGCCUUUGAUACCGAUGAGCUUGAAUGAACUAGAGGUAGGCGGAAUGUGACAAGUAGCGGUGAAAUGCAUAGAUAUGUCACAGAACACCAAUUGCGAAGGCAGCUUACUAUGGUUUGAUUGACACUGAGGCACGAAAGCGUGGGGAUCAAACAGG
rnacentral:rRNA from 1 species